ensembl:lncRNA
UGAGGAGCUGCUGUGAACACUGGUUGUGUGAGUAGGUCGGUGAAGAGCCUGUUAAGUUUUGUCUUCUACACAAACGGUUGUUUUGAACCUCUACAGCAGAGGUUCGAGUGAUUUUAGAAGACAAGCCAGGUGUGCAGCAAACACAGUUGUCUGUUGGAGGACAGGCUGCACAUGUGAAUGUGUCACUGUUUUUUCCUCCUCCUUUUGUUGCGUUUUUCUUCCAAGUUGGUUUUAGAGUAGGGUCCCUUUUAAAACUGUUUUUUAUGCCUGGUUUGUUUUUAUUUCUACUGGGCUGGUUCAAUAUUAGUCAGGCAACGUGCAAUCCCUGAGCUGGGCUCUUACCUUAGGGGAAUUAGGUCUUUUAGAGGUACUCCGUGUGGAUUUGCAGUGAAUAAGUUUUAUUAAGAGUGAGUUUAGUGCCACUGAUUGCCUGAACUAAAACACUUGGUGCAUGCGAUAAGUGUUCUGUUGGGCUCGUAUUUAUUUGGGAUGGAUUUGUUUUAAAGCAACGAGCAUCUGGGACCACCGGGGUAGAGCAAGCCCUCAGGUGAUAAUUGCAUUGCUGGCAGGUUGCACCAAUAAGACUAUUGUGGUCGUUAGUGACCUUUUCAAUUUUGAUGUUUUAGGCCUUUUGCAAACCCUUUAUUUUCUUUUAAAAUAAUAAAUUUUAACGUAUCUGACUGAUAUCGACCCUCUUGUCCCCUUUCUUCUGAGCUCGUUCCUGUAAGAGCUCUGGGCCUGAAAGUUUGCACAAGUAGUAUAGAGGCCCUUAGCGGUUACUUGGUGGCUUUUACUCACUACAAAUAAUUAAGCAUAGAAACCAAACCGAUUUUCUGAGAUUUAUUGAAAGAAAGUUCAAACCUCUGCAAAGGGAUCAAUAAAGCACAAAUGAUCAGAUAAUCUACUUUUCUGACGCCAAGUCCCGUCUCUUGUUUGUUUAUCGCCCACUUUGCGCCUGAAAGAGGAAACCAGCUGAGCUGAACAGGUGAUGGAGAAACAGGUUUACCUUUUAGGUGAUAUGAAUGAGUUGAAGGGAAGUUAUGAACUGUUUCUGAGAGACAAAUCACACCAGGAUCCUUCUCUACGUAGCUGACAGCUGGUAACACAGGCGAGUCUAAGUCAUUAACGGGAAAGUGGG